GGCCAAGUUUUUAAGGGCGCACGGUGGAUGCCUUGGCACCAGGAACCGAUGAAGGACGUGGGAGGCCACGAUAGUCCCCGGGGAGUCGUCAACCAGGCUUUGAUCCGGGGGUUUCCGAAUGGGGAAACCCGGCAGUCGUCAUGGGCUGUCACCCGCUGCUGAACACAUAGGCAGUGUGGAGGGAACGCGGGGAAGUGAAACAUCUCAGUACCCG
rnacentral:ncRNA from 1 species